rnacentral:tRNA from 1 species
GGCGAUGUGACCGAAUGGAAGGUGGAAGCUUGCAACGCUUCUUAUGGUGGUUCGAAUCCACCCAUCGCCU